GCCUGCCUGUUCCUGAUACUCUUUGUUUUACCAUGUGGCCAUCAGUCCACAAGGAGACAAACCACUGCAGUCAAUCUGUUCCAUGUGAGUGUUCCACGUUCUGUCCAGAGCUGGCUGCUUAAAACAGGACACUCGGGGAUGGAAACUACAGGUUGGGGUAAUCUCUGCUAUCCUACACCUCUCUGCUGAUCACUUCCUUCAACAUCCCAAAGGAGUUAUUUGGAAACUCAAUGACUCUUCAAAUGCAACAGCAUGAAGACUAUGUCAGCUGCCAAGAAAUGUCAUCUUCCUCUGCAGCUUCUCCAGCAAAAAGAUAAGUAAUAUCAGGCUGUUCCAAGUAUUGAAAGCACACACUCUUAAAUUAUUCUUUCUAUGUGUAUGUAACAUCUCAUUUAGAGAAACUAUGUGGAAGACUGCAGACCCAUCUUUCUUAGCUGUUCCUUCCCUCUGUGAGGCUAACUAGAAUAACCUACCUGGUGGCUGGAAAUUCUCAGUCUUCACUAGGCAGAUCAAUAGAAGCUCUGGUGAAGGACAGAGUUUGACAGGAGCUGGGGUGAUAGUUAUGUACAGAUCUGUUGGCCAUGGUCAUGCUUUGCAAGGCUUCUUGGAGCUCUUUUGAUACAGCACCAAGCACAUCAAUAAGAUGACUGAGUCUGCUAAAACUGUUUUCAAAAAACAAACCCUCUCCAAGAGCUUUUAAGGCAUUGGUGAGGCAAGAGGAAAGACCGUGGCAUUGAUUAGUAGCUGCCUGAAAGAUAAACAGAUGAACACAUUGGUUGGAGAUGAAGAGGGAGAAAGUGUGCAGAUAAUAUCACCUAUUCAAGGUACUAAUGGGGGCUCUGGUAUGCAGCUUAGGCUCACAGAGGGGUUUUACAAGACCCAGAUAACGAUGAAA